AUUGAACGCUGGCGGCAUGCUUUACACAUGCAAGUCGAACGGUAACAGGCCGCAAGGUGCUGACGAGUGGCGAACGGGUGAGUAAUGCAUCGGAACGUGCCCAGUCGUGGGGGAUAACUGCUCGAAAGAGCAGCUAAUACCGCAUACGAUCUAUGGAUGAAAGCGGGGGACCGUAAGGCCUCGCGCGAUUGGAGCGGCCGAUGUCAGAUUAGGUAGUUGGUGGGGUAAAGGCUCACCAAGCCAACGAUCUGUAGCUGGUCUGAGAGGACGACCAGCCACAGUGGGACUGAGGCGCGGCCGGGAAGCCUACGGGAGGCAGCAGUGGGGAAUUUUGGACAAUGGGGGCAACCCUGAUCCAGCAAUGCCGCGUGCAGGAAGAAGGCGUUGGGGUUGUAAACUGCUUUUGUACGGAACGAAACGGUCUGGGUUAAUACCCUGGGCUAAUGACGGUACCGUAAGAAUAAGCACCGGCUAACUACGUGCCAGCCGCCGCCGUAACAC
rnacentral:rRNA from 1 species